AACGAACGCUGGCGGCAGGCUUAACACAUGCAAGUCGAACGCGUGCAGCAAUGCACGAGUGGCGCACGGGUGAGUAACGAGUGGAUAUCUGCCUUUUGGUUCGGAAUAACCCCGGGAAACUGCGGCUAAUACCGGAUGGUUCCUCCGGGAUAAAGCUCUAUCGCCAAAAGAUGAGUCCGCGUCCGAUUAGCUAGUUGGUGAGGUAAUGGCACACCAAGGCGACGAUCGGUAGCUGGUCUGAGAGGACGAUCAGCCACGCUGGGACUGAGACACGGCCCAGACUCGGACGGAGGGGAGCAGUGGGGAAUAUUGGGCGAGGGAGGCAACCCUGAUCCAGCCAUGCCGCGUAAGUGAUGAAGGCCUUCGGGUUGUAAAGCUCUUUUGGCGGAGACGAUGAUGACGGUACCCGCAGAAUAAGCCCCGACUAACUUCGUG
rnacentral:rRNA from 1 species